UCCCUGGUGGCUCAGAUGGUAAAAGCGUCUGCCUACAAUGCAGGAGAACAGGGUUCGAUCCUUGGGCUGGGAA
rnacentral:tRNA from 1 species